rnacentral:rRNA from 1 species
GAGCUCAAAUUUGAAAUCUGGCCCCUCCGGGGUCCGAGUUGUAAUUUGCAGAGGAUGCUUCGGGCGCGGUCCCCGUCUAAGUACCCUGGAACGGGUCGUCAUAGAGGGUGAGAAUCCCGUCUGGGACGGGUGGCCGUGUCCGUGUGAAGCUCCUUCGACGAGUCGAGUUGUUUGGGAAUGCAGCUCUAAAUGGGUGGUAAAUUUCAUCUAAAGCUAAAUAUUGGCCGGAGACCGAUAGCGCACAAGUAGAGUGAUCGAAAGAUGAAAAGCACUUUGAAAAGAGAGUUAAACAGCACGUGAAAUUGUUGAAAGGGAAGCGCUUGCGACCAGACUCGCCCGCGGGGGUUCAGCCGGUACUCGUACCGGUGUACUCCCCCGGGGGCGGGCCAGCGUCGGUUUGGGCGGUCGGUCAAAGGCCUCCGGAAUGUGUCGCCCCCCGGGGCGUCUUAUAGCCGGAGGUGCAAUGCGGCCAGCCUGGACCGAGGAACGCGCUUCGGCUCGGACGCUGGCGUAAUGG